rnacentral:rRNA from 1 species
AUGUCUACACAAAGGGUUUUCCGGACACACAUAUCAAGUCCAACAAACUAUACCGUGAAAUGUGUUGAAACAGGUUGUCCUGGGAAGGUGCACGGGCACGUGCCGAAGUAUGACAUCCACUGGGUUGUCACCAUUGUUGUCCCACAUAAUUGUGUGAGGAAGAACCUGCUGGUGAAGCAUCCGAACCUGACUUAG